CCCAGACUCCUACGGGAGGCAGCAGUGGGGGAUAUUGCACAAUGGGGGGAACCCUGAUGCAGCGACGCCGCGUGGGUGAAGGAGUAUUUCGGUAUGUAAAGCCCUAUCGGCAGGGAAGAAAUUGGACGGUACCUGACUAAGAAGCCCCGGCUAACUACGUGCCAGCAGCCGCGGUAAUACGUAGGGGGCAAGCGUUAUCCGGAUUCACUGGGUGUAAAGGGAGCGUAGACGGCCAGGCAAGCCUGGAGUGAAAGCCCGGGGCCCAACCCCGGGACUGCUCUGGGAACUGUCCGGCUGGAGUGCGGGAGGGGCAGGCGGAAUUCCUGGUGUAGCGGUGAAAUGCGUAGAGAUCGGGAGGAACACCAGUGGCGAAGGCGGCCUACUGGGCUUUAACUGACGCUGAGGCACGAAAGCGUGGGUAGCAAACAGGAUUAGAUACCCUAGUAA
rnacentral:rRNA from 1 species